UGUCGACUUGUGUCGCUUGCUGGAAAGCACGGUAGGUCAUUAUAGCCGUAUCACACUAGCGGUUCGCGUUGGCGUUGCCGUUGGCGUUGCCGUUGGCUGCUGCGUCUCGACCAAUCAGAGAAUAGCAAAGGUCGAGACGCAGCAGCCAACGGCAACGCCAACGCGAACCGCUAGUGUGAUACGACUAUUACAUCAUGAUGCCACGUGCGUAUUCACAGUUCACACUAUUCACAGUAGUUUCGUUUGGGACAAUGGGACGGCGAGCGUAUGGCACAUCUUCUGAAUUAGAAGAACGAUUUUUUAUCCUGCGGGGUUGCAUCAUCCCGCGCGAGACCAGAUAGUCAGGGCCUUCGCUUUGUACAUUACCACCAAGUAAUCGCUACCCAUACAGCACAAGAACGUCCAGCAACAUUGCAAUAUUCUGUAUGGGUAUACAACGUCUUUUGAACACGCACAAGUCAGUACAUUACCAAUCGCUUAACUAUAAGCGUCUAUUGAACACGUAUAACUGAAAGGGAUCGACAUGGCCGUAUCAGUCCGCACUUAGCGGCUGGGCCAACUAACCGGAGGAAGAAGUGCAUAUCCACGUCGUAUCCACGUACAUUUUAUUGAAUGGAAACUCUAAAAAAGAAGCAACAACCUCAAGUGUCAGCUGCCACCGUAUCCAACCUCAUAGACUGUCUCCAGCAAUGCUGGUACGUUGCAAGGCAGUUUUGGUAACCCAGGGCUGUGUUCGACUCGCGGUAAAAUUUCGCCGAAGCCGACCCAGCGCGCAGUUGUGAACGACCAUACGUGCCUGCUCGAAUAGGCAACCUGUCGUACUGACAUGUAAACAGGGAAGAUCAGGAAAGUGAAGUAGGUGUAAGCAGUGCAGUAGCUGAAAGUUCAUCGGAGUAAUGGCGAUGUAGACGACUCUUUUGAUGGUAAAGAGACUGAUAAGGAAUCUAAAAAGAAAAAUCGUGCUGUAUGUCGCAAAAAUAUUAGUUUGACUGGUUAGUGUCAAUGUAAUGUAAUUGGUAAUGCUGAAUUAGAAUUAGAGUUUAGUUUUGACGAUUUUGACCAAAGCAUCUCAGUCUUCACUCGGCGCUCCGAGUGAGACACCCGGCGGUGGAUGCCACAUCCACUGCGGUAGACGCCGAGUCCACAGCUGUGAUGCAAACUUUGGGUUCCGAGCACCAUGAAAGUG